UACGUAGGGUGCAAGCGUUGUCCGGAAUUAUUGGGCGUAAAGAGCUCGUAGGCGGUUUGUCGCGUCGAAUGUGAAAACCCGGGGCUCAACCCCGGGCCUGCAUUCGAUACGGGCAGACUAGAGUUCGGUAGGGGAGUCUGGAAUUCCUGGUGUAGCGGUGAAAUGCGCAGAUAUCAGGAGGAACACCGGUGGCGAAGGCGGCGUUCUGG
rnacentral:rRNA from 1 species